ACGUAGGGUGCAAGCGUUGUCCGGAAUUACUGGGCGUAAAGGGCGCGUAGGCGGGAACUUAAGUCAGAUGUGAAAACUCCAGGCUCAACUUGGAGACUGCAUUUGAAACUGAGUUUCUUGAGGGCAGGAGAGGAAAGUGGAAUUCCUAGUGUAGCGGUGAAAUGCGUAGAUAUUAGGAGGAACACCAGUGGCGAAGGCGACUUUCUGGACUGUACCUGACGCUGAGGCGCGAAAGCGUGGGGAGCAAACGG
rnacentral:rRNA from 1 species